GAUGAACGCUGGCGGCGUGCCUAAUACAUGCAAGUCGAGCGAACAGACGAGGAGCUUGCUCCUCUGAUGUUAGCGGCGGACGGGUGAGUAACACGUGGAUAACCUACCUAUAAGACUGGGAUAACUUCGGGAAACCGUAGCUAAUACCGGAUAAUAUUUUGAACCGCAUGGUUCAAUAGUGAAAGACGGUCUUGCUGUCACUUAUAGAUGGAUCCGCGCUGCAUUAGCUAGUUGGUAAGGUAACGGCUUACCAAGGCAACGAUGCAUAGCCGACCUGAGAGGGUGAUCGGCCACACUGGAACUGAGACACGGUCCAGACUCCUACGGGAGGCAGCAGUAGGGAAUCUUCCGCAAUGGGCGAAAGCUUGACGGAGCAACGACGCGUGAGUGAUGAAGGUCUUCGGAUCGUAAAACUCUGUUAUUAGGGAAGAACAUAUGUGUAAGUAACUGUGCACAUCUUGACGGUACCUAAUCAGAAAGCCACGGCUAACUACGUG
rnacentral:rRNA from 1 species